UCAGAUCGUAUUCCACCGGACAUACUCGGAUCAAUAGCAUCACGUCUCGUUGUUGGUGAAUACUUUGUUUUUCGUGUCGUUUGUAAACAAUGGCGGCUAGCGCCCUUGAAUACAUGAUGAUUUGCAAUUGCCUUAUUUGAUGACCUUACAUGAAAAAACCGGUAUUGUAGAGUUCUUUGAUCCUGUGUAUAACGUGGUGACUACUCACAAUCCGGGUAUCUCAAAAUUAAAGGGUUCCCGAAUUCGGAGUUGAAAAGCUGGUUGGUUACUCAUGAGUCAUGGCAAUCGCGGUAUGUUCUUUUUCAAUCCUAUCGACAAUGACAUAAUUGAACUCCCUGAUCUAGAGCAAAGAGAAAAUAUUUGCUCUUGUUGGACAUUUUCGUGCCCUCCCGACUCAGAAGGCUGUUUUGUCGUUGGUUUUGACACCUAUGGUACCCCUCCAGAUAUAUACAUCAUCAAAGUUGGAGAGACUACAUGGACAUAUCAUUAUUCCAAUGAUAUAGAAUAUACAGAAUAUGGAUAUAACGAAAGAAUAUUUGAAUUACACGGAUGCAAUAAUGCGGUUUUUAUAAAGAAAAAUAUUAUAUACAUACUGGGAGAUAAAGGAAAUUUGGCAACACUGAGCAUCAACGAAAAGUCAACUACAGAGGUACCUACUUGGAAAUUUUAUGGGAAGCUAUUUCGGUGUCGACGUCGAAAAUUUUAUGGGAAGCUCUUUCGGUGUCGACGUCGAAAACAAAAUUCAAUUCAACGAAUUUACAUCGUAGAAGAUACUGACGAUGAGGGAAUGUUCGCCGUAUUUUUAUGUCACGAAGAAGGGGAGGUAGAGGUUUGGAGAUACACAAUAAAUAAUGGAUGGAAGGGAGAAAGUAACAAGUUUGAAGAAUAAAACAUUGUUCGUGAGCAAUGGAGGG
rnacentral:lncRNA from 1 species